rnacentral:rRNA from 1 species
GAUGAACGCUAGCUACAGGCUUAACACAUGCAAGUCGAGGGGCAGCAUGGUCUUAGCUUGCUAAGGCCGAUGGCGACCGGCGCACGGGUGAGUAAUACGUAUCCAACCUGCCGUCUACUCUUGGACAGCCUUCUGAAAGGAAGAUUAAUACAAGAUGGCAUCAUGAGUCCGCAUGUUCACAUGAUUAAAGGUAUUCCGGUAGACGAUGGGGAUGCGUUCCAUUAGAUAGUAGGCGGGGUAACGGCCCACCUAGUCUUCGAUGGAUAGGGGUUCUGAGAGGAAGGUCCCCCACAUUGGAACUGAGACACGGUCCAAACUCCUACGGGAGGCAGCAGUGAGGAAUAUUGGUCAAUGGGCGAGAGCCUGAACCAGCCAAGUAGCGUGAAGGAUGACUGCCCUAUGGGUUGUAAACUUCUUUUAUAAAGGAAUAAAGUCGGGUAUGGAUACCCGUUUGCAUGUACUUUAUGAAUAAGGAUCGGCUAACUCCGUGCCAGCAGCCGCGGUAAUACGGAGGAUCCGAGCGUUAUCCGGAUUUAUUGGGUUUAAAGGGAGCGUAGAUGGAUGUUUAAGUCAGUUGUGAAAGUUUGCGGCUCAACCGUAAAAUUGCAGUUGAUACUGGAUAUCUUGAGUGCAGUUGAGGCAGGCGGAAUUCGUGGUGUAGCGGUGAAAUGCUUAGAUAUCACGAAGAACUCCGAUUGCGAAGGCAGCCUGCUAAGCUGCAACUGACAUUGAGGCUCGAAAGUGUGGGUAUCAAACAGGAUUAGAUACCCUGGUAGUCCACACGGUAAACGAUGAAUACUCGCUGUUUGCGAUAUACGGCAAGCGGCCAAGCGAAAGCGUUAAGUAUUCCACCUGGGGAGUACGCCGGCAACGGUGAAACUCAAAGGAAUUGACGGGGGCCCGCACAAGCGGAGGAACAUGUGGUUUAAUUCGAUGAUACGCGAGGAACCUUACCCGGGCUUAAAUUGCAGAUGAAUUACGGUGAAAGCCGUAAGCCGCAAGGCAUCUGUGAAGGUGCUGCAUGGUUGUCGUCAGCUCGUGCCGUGAGGUGUCGGCUUAAGUGCCAUAACGAGCGCAACCCUUGUUGUCAGUUACUAACAGGUUCCGCUGAGGACUCUGACAAGACUGCCAUCGUAAGAUGUGAGGAAGGUGGGGAUGACGUCAAAUCAGUACGGCCCUUACGUCCGGGGCUACACACGUGUUACAAUGGGGGGUACAGAGGGCCGCUACCACGCGAGUGGAUGCCAAUCCCCAAAACCUCUCUCAGUUCGGACUGGAGUCUGCAACCCGACUCCACGAAGCUGGAUUCGCUAGUAAUCGCGCAUCAGCCACGGCGCGGUGAAUACGUUCCCGGGCCU